UGCAAGCGUUGUCCGGAAUUAUUGGGCGUAAAGAGCUCGUAGGCGGUUUGUCGCGUCUGCUGUGAAAACUCGGGGCUUAACCCCGGGCCGGCAGUGGGUACGGGCAGACUAGAGUGCGGUAGGGGAGACUGGAAUUCCUGGUGUAGCGGUGAAAUGCGCAGAUAUCAGGAGGAACACCGGUGGCGAAGGCGGCGCUCUGGGCCGGUACUGACACUGAGGAGCGAAAGCGUGGGUAGCAAACAGG
rnacentral:rRNA from 1 species